GACGAACGCUGGCGGCGUGCCUAAUACAUGCAAGUAGAACGCUGAAGGAGGAGCUUGCUUCUCUGGAUGAGUUGCGAACGGGUGAGUAACGCGUAGGUAACCUGCCUGGUAGCGGGGGAUAACUAUUGGAAACGAUAGCUAAUACCGCAUAAGAGUAGAUGUUGCAUGACAUUUGCUUAAAAGGUGCAAUUGCAUCACUACCAGAUGGACCUGCGUUGUAUUAGCUAGUUGGUGGGGUAACGGCUCACCAAGGCGACGAUACAUAGCCGACCUGAGAGGGGGGUCGGGCAGACUGGGACUGGGACACGGCCCAGACGCCGACGGGAGGCAGCAGUAGGGAAUCGUCGGCAAUGGACGGAAGUCUGAGCGAGGAACGCCGCGUGAGGGAAGAAGGUUUUCGGAUCGUAAAGCUCUGUUGUAAGAGAAGAACGAGUGUGAGAGUGGAAAGUUCACACUGUGACGGUAUCUGACCAGAAAGGGACGGCUAACUACGUG
rnacentral:rRNA from 1 species